UAGGAGCCCCGGGGGGCCGCAGAGAAAUGGCCCAGGCGACUGUUUAGCAAAAACACAGCACUAUGCAAACCUCUAAGGGGAAGUAUAUGGUGUGACGCCUGCCCAAUGCCAAAAGGUUAAAGGGAUAUGUCAGCUGCAAAGCGAAGCAUUGAACCUAAGCCCUGGUGAAUGGCCGCCGUAACUAUAACGGUGCUAAGGUAGCGAAAUUCCUUGUCGGGUAAGUUCCGACCUGCACGAAUGGUGUAACGAUCUGGGCACUGUCUCAACGAAAGACUCGGUGAAAUUGUAGUAGCAGUGAAGAUGCUGUUUACCCGCGAAAGGACGAAAAGACCCCGUGAACCUUUACUGUACUUUGGUAUUGAUUUUUGGUUUGUUAUGUGUAGGAUAGCCAGGAGACUAGGAACACUCUUCUUCAGGAGAGUGGGAGUCAACGUUGAAAUACUGGUCUUAACAAGCUGGGAAUCUAACAUUAUUCCAUGAAUCUGGAAGAUGGACAUUGCCAGACGGGCAGUUUUACUGGGGCGGUAUCCUCCUAAAAAGUAACGGAGGAGCCCAAAGCUUAUUUCAUCGUGGUUGGCAAUCACGAGUAGAGCGUAAAGGUAUAAGAUAGGUUGACUGCAAGACCAACAAGUCGAGCAGAGACGAAAGUCGGGCUUAGUGAUCCGGCGGUGGAAAGUGGAAUCGCCGUCGCUUAACGGAUAAAAGGUACUCCGGGGAUAACAGGCUGAUCGCCACCAAGAGUUCAUAUCGACGUGGCGGUUUGGCACCUCGAUGUCGGCUCAUCGCAUCCUGGGGCUGGAGAAGGUCCCAAGGGUUUGGCUGUUCGCCAAUUAAAGCGGUACGCGAGCUGGGUUCAAAACGUCGUGAGACAGUUUGGUCUCUAUCCUUCGUGGGCGCAGGAUACUUGAGAGGAGCUGUUCCUAGUACGAGAGGAUCGGAAUGGACGAACCAAUGGUGUGUCGGUUGUUUUGCCAAGAGCAUAGCCGAGUAGCUACGUUCGGAAAGGAUAAGCAUUGAAAGCAUCUAAAUGCCAAGCCUCCCUCAAGAUAAGGUAUCCCAAUGAGAC
rnacentral:rRNA from 1 species